CCUGACAGACCGCUAUGACGGCCACGAUCCUGCUCCACUUUCUGCGAUGGAUUUCGCGUGGCUCCACUACUCCCUGGCAGACCGCUAUGACGGCCACGAUUCUGCUCCACUUCCUGCGACGGAUUUCGUGCGGCUCCACUACUCCCUGACAGAUCACUAUGAUGCCCACGAUCCUGCUCCACCUCCUGCAAUGGAUACUUCAUGAUUCUU
rnacentral:lncRNA from 1 species